GUUUUGUUUGAGCGAAGCAGGGGCUCUAUAAAGAUUUAACAUCACUGUGAAAAAAAGAUCAUUGUAUUGGCUUUAUCCUCAAAAACACUUUUCUGGCUUCUGAAGGGAUGCACACACUCAAAGCAAACAGCAGGAAGAUAUAUUCAGCUGCAACGGUCUAAGUGUUUUGAGCAGCUAUUUGAAAUCUUUGAUUGAAGUCUUUGAUUAGAGCAACUGUCCCAUCAAGAAUAUUCUUGAGGAUUUCUG
rnacentral:lncRNA from 1 species